rnacentral:lncRNA from 1 species
GAAAAUGGGAUCACCUUAUUUGAAAGUGAGAUAACUUCUUCAUCCUAACUCCUAUGAGAUUUAUUCAACUUCCUCCAAACAGGGAAACUGGGAUCACCUUAUUUGAAAGUGUGAUAACUUCUUCAUCCUAACUCCUAUGAGAUUUAUUCAAAUUCCUGGUGAUUCUCCACUACUCUAUGUAUCUAAAUCAAGCUUUGUACAUCGCGAUUCUUACUGGUUUGAUUAGAAUGUCGAAGAAAUUGUCAUAUUCCCAAACAUGGAAACUGGGA